rnacentral:rRNA from 1 species
UAGGAAUAUUGGACAAUGGGGGCAACCCUGAUCCAGCCAUGCCGCGUGAAUGAAGAAGGCCUUAGGGUUGUAAAGUUCUUUCGGCUGUGAAGAUAAUGACAGUAGCAGAAGAAGAAGCUCCGGCUAAAUUCGUGCCAGCAGCCGCGGUAAUACGAAUGGAGCGAGCGUUGUUCGGAAUCACUGGGCGUAAAGCGUGCGCAGGCGGUCUUGAAAGUCAGAAGUGAAAGCCCAGGGCUUAACCCUGGAAUUGCUUUUGAAACUCCAAGACUAGAGUACUGGAGAGGUUGGCGGAAUUCCGAGUGUAGCAGUGAAAUGCGUAGAUAUUCGGAGGAACACCGAUGGCGUAGGCAGCCAACUGGACAGUAACUGACGCUCAUGCACGAAAGCGUGGGGAUCAAAC